rnacentral:rRNA from 1 species
GAAACCAACAGGGAUUGCCCAGUAACGGCGAGUGAAGCGUCAACAGCUCAAAUUUGAAAUCUGGCUCACGGCCGAAUUGUAAUUUGCAGAGGAUGCUUUUGGCGCGGUGCCUUCUGAGUUCCCUGGAACGGGACGGCACAGAGGGUGAGAGCCCCGUAUAGUCGGACACCUAGCCUUUGUAUAGCGCCUUCGACGAGUCGAGUAGUUUGGGAAUGCGCUCAAAAUGGGAGGUAAAUUUCUUCUAAAGCUAAAUACCGGCCAGAGACCCAUAGCCAACAAGUAGAGUGUAUCGAAAGAUGAAAAGCACUUUGAAAAGAGGGUUAAAAAGUACGUGAAAUUGUUAAAGAGGAAGGGUUUAUGACCAGACUUGUGUCUUGAGAAUCAUCUGGCGUUCUCGCCAGUGCACUUCUCCUGAUUCAGGCCAGCAUCGGUCCGGCUAGAAGCAUAAAGGCUCUAGGAACGUAGCUCUUCGGAGUGUUAUAGCCUAUUGCAUAAUACUUUUAGCGGGACCGAGGUACGCGCUCUGCAAGGAUGCACCACCGACCGAUCCUGAUUGUCCUCGGAUGGAUUUGAGUAAGAGCAUAGCGUUUGGGUGCCAAACCCGCACGCGAAAUGAAAGUGAACGCUGGCGAGAGCUUCGGCGCAUCGUCGACCGAUCCUGAUGUAUUCGGAUGGAUUUGAGUAUGAGCUUUAAUGAUCGGACCCGAAAGAUGGCGAACUAUGCUUGGAUAGGGUGAAGCCAGAGGAAACUCUGGUGGAGGCUCGCAGCGGUUCUGACGUGCAAAUCGAUCGUCAAAUCUGAGCAUAGGGGCGAAAGACUAAUCGAGCCAUUUAGUAGCUGGUUACCACCGAAGUUUCCAAA